GCCGGAAUUGCUAGUAAUGGCAGGUCAGCAUACUGCCGUGAAUACGUUCCCGGGCCUUGUACACACCGCCCGUCACACCAUGAGAGUUGGGGAUACCCGAAGCCUGUGAGCUAACAGUAAUGGAGCAGCAGUCGAAGGUAGAAUCAAUGAUUGGGGUGAAGUCGUAACAAGGUAGC
rnacentral:rRNA from 1 species